AAUUCUACUUCCCUUCUCUCUCUUCCAACGGGCGAGGUUUUUUCGAAAGUUCUCUCUCGCUCUCGCUCGCCGAGUUUUCUUGGCUGGAAGGAUUGGAACCCGUUGUUGGAUUGAUGAGCUCGCCCUCGAUUCUGGCCACUACUUUGGAAGAAUAGGAUGUUGGAUUUCGGAGGCGCUGGUCGAAGGAGAUGGACGAGGUGAAAUUGCAAGAGUGUUGUCUAGAGAACAAACAAUCGACAGCUGCUUCAAGCUCCUCAGUUUCCGAAGGCAGUGGCAGCUUUUGUGCCAAGUCUCCUGGGGUAUCUAGCCCGGCUGCAACAUCACCUUCUCAUAGGAGGACGUCUGGCCCUAUUAGGCGACCAAAGGGUGGUUGGACUGCUGAGGAGGAUGAUACAUUAAGACAUGCUGUAGCUGUAUUUAACGGAAAAUGUUGGAAGAAAAUAGCUAAAUUUUUUACUGAUAGAUCAGAAGUGCAAUGUCUGCACCGAUGGCAGAAAGUUCUUAAUCCAGAGCUUGUUAAAGGGCCAUGGACUCAAGAGGAAGAUGAUAAAAUUAUUGAACUAGUAUCUAAACAUGGCCCCACAAAAUGGUCUUUCAUUGCAAAGUCUUUACCAGGUCGCAUAGGAAAGCAAUGCCGCGAGAGGUGGCACAAUCAUUUGAAUCCAGAUAUAAAAAGGGAUGCUUGGACACUGGAGGAGGAGCUAGCUGUCAUGAAUGCCCAUCGGACACAUGGGAAUAAAUGGGCUGAAAUAGCUAAGGUUUUACCUGGAAGGACUGAUAAUGCAAUAAAGAAUCAUUGGAAUAGUUCCCUAAAGAAGAAGUUAGAUUUCUAUUUGGCUUCAGGGAAACUUCCACCUGCAGUUAGGUAUGGUCUUCAAGAUAUUAGUGAGCCUGCUGCAAAACCGACUGUCUGUUCAGCAAAAGUAUCAGAUUCAACCGCUCAAACAUCAUCAGGAUCUACAGAUAAAUGUAAACUAGAGGAAGAUGGGAAGGGCCAAUUAGAUUCCUGUGAGCCUCUUCCAGAUACAGGUGCAUUAUCAAGUCUUCCCCCAAGUGAAUCUGCUGAUUCUAAAGGUGUUGAAUGCGAGUCUGAGCCACCUGGUGCUGAUCCUAGCUGUAGCAAUUCAGAGUCAGGUCCAAAUUUUGAGAAAUGUAGAAUCAACAGAGAAGUUGAUAAGGACGAAGUUGCUGGAACACCUAUGCAGUUUGAAAUGUCAAGCUAUGGUUCUUUGUACUAUGAGCCACCCCAGUUAGAAAGUUGCAUUCCAUUAUAUACAGAUAUCUUUAACACUCAUUGCAUGCAGCAUGAACGUGACUCUAGUCAGAUGACAUCACCAGAUAUUUAUUCGACUCCACCUUGUGUGAAGGGUAGUGGUUUAGGCAGGCAAAGUCCAGAAUCUAUAUUGAAAAUUGCUGCGAGGAGCUUCCCAAACACUCCUUCCAUACUACGAAAGAGAAAGUCAGAAGCUCAAACACCUCUAUUCUCUAAAGAAAUUGGAAAAGCAGAAGGAAAAACAGUCAAAAGUAUGUUUUCUGUUUCUGAUGAAUGGGAAAUAAAUGAGAAUAGUUUGGAUAAAUCAGAGCCACAAGAUGGAAGUUUAUGCGAGAGCCCUGCUUGUCAUAGUAGUAGCACCACUAGGCUAUGCAAUGAUAAGGCUAUUAAUGCAUCAGUUCCGUAUCGGUUAAGAUCCAAAAGAACUGCUGUUUUCAAGUCCGUGGAGAAACGACUUCAGUUCACACUUGACAAAGAGAAGUGUGAUGGUAAUCUAAAAUCUCUUGAUGUAUCUAUCAAGGGGAAGUCUCCUUGUUCCAAAGAUUGUUCACAUGCAAUGAGGAUGGAAAUAACUUAGACACUAUGCUUUCUCCUGUUUAAAAGUUGUUGGGGCCACUUUUUUUUCCUCAGUUGGAUGUAGUCUGUGGUUAUAACUCCUAAGGUGCUGCUGAUGUUAAUGCACUCGAAUCCUGCUGGUAGUAGACAGCUGUUGCUAGUGAAUGCAUCCAGAUUGUGUUGUGUUUUGGUUGUGCGAAGUUCUGGAAUGGUUUCUCCCUGCCUGCACCUGUUUCUGUUGUUGGGUUUUUGAUCCAUCUUUGACCUUUUGUUUCCUGUUCCUGUUUGCAUCUGCAACCAAUUGACAUCAGGCUGUGUUUUUGUAAGGUUCAGGGCUAAUCUUUGGACACCCCUGCUAUUUAUGUGAUUGUGGCUGGUCUUAUGGAGUUCUAGCGUGGUUUCUCCCUGCCUUCCAGCACACUUAGGCUACUGUAGCUGCUGUGCUGAGGUGGUAACUGUUCAGCUGUUUGUGGGCUUUUCUUUUCUCAUGCUUAUGCUCCCUCAUAGGUUGUUGUGGCUGGUGGUUUGCUAUUAUCUUUGGUCAUAGCUGCUUGUUGAAGCCUUAACAUGCCUUCAAAGGACUGGUACAAUUGCUGCCCUGUGUAUGCUGACUUACUUUCCAUCAUACAUGUAGAAAGAAUAACAGAUGUCUGGUGGCAGAUCUAUUUUGAGAAAGAAUUCCGAUUGAUGUGGUGGUUUGUACAGGAAUGCAGUUUCAUGAGAGGCUGAAAAUGGCUUGAAAAUUUUUUUCUUUUCAAAUGAUCUUCCUUUCAUUGUUACCUCAUCCAAAAUCUACAAAUUAGAAUCAUAGAUGUUAGACAAUACGUUUUGCCUCUUUUCCUUGGUAUACUCAUGCUAGUGGGUUCUCCCAAGAAAGAAAAUGUUAGGUUGUGUUUGGGUGCAUGGUUUUAGACUCUUCGAUUUUGAUUUGUUUGAAUUUGGAUAAAACAAAACAUAAUCUUGACUUUCGUUUUGUUCAAAUCAAAUUGUAUUUUGUUUUGUCCAAAUUCAUAUAUCCAAAUCAGGAGCUGAACUCUAUGCCCUCAAAUAUAGAGACAAUGUAUUCUUUAGCUGGAAAUAAGCCAAAUUCAUAUAUACAAAAUAUAAAUUUGUAUUUCGUUGCACGUGAUAUAAAUGCACAUACAACGAAUGGUGAAUUAAUUAGAUAAUAAUUUCUUAGUGAA